UACAGAGGGUGCGAGCGUUGUCCGGAUUUACUGGGCGUAAAGGGCGCGUAGGCGGCUUAUCAAGUCGGGGGUGAAAGCCCGUGGCUCAACCACGGAAUGGCCUUCGAUACUGGUAGGCUUGAGACCGGAAGAGGACAGCGGAACUGCGAGUGUAGAGGUGAAAUUCGUAGAUAUUCGCAAGAACACCAGUGGCGAAGGCGGCUGUCUGGUCCGGUUCUGACGCUGAGGCGCGAAAGCGUGGGGAGCAAACAGG
rnacentral:rRNA from 1 species